CCCUGAAGGAACGUUUAAGACUAAGACGUUGAUAGGCUGGGUGUGUAAGUGCAGCGAUGCAUUGAGCUAACCAGUACUAAUGAUCCGUGAGGCUUAACCUU
rnacentral:rRNA from 2 species